GGCACAAGGAGGUUGGCAGGGUCCAGGCUAAGACACAGCAUCCAUGCGCUAUGCCGUUUACAGCCAACCCAUCCUGAGCGCGGAAGGCAGUGUGGCCGGCUUGAAGGCCCUGAGAAUAGCUGGCGUUGGUGACCCUGGAGUGUGGCCAGCUCCAAGGCGGAACCCCUGUGAGCGUCAGGAGGCUGUCCCAGCUCAGAGAAAGACCCUGUCAAAAUGCAAAUGUAGCUGCUACCCGGAGAGGGUAACACAUGAACUUAUUACCAUCCAUUAUCGCCUGAGUGCCGUUUAUCAGCUUCCCAGCUGAGAACAGGGCGCCCGGGAGAAAGAAGGGUGCCGAGCAGAUUAUCUCUAUUCCCUGGAGACACCGGAGGACAAGAGAGGAAGAAGAGACACAAACUGCAAGGCAGGGAAAGGCAGGCCGAGAUUAAAGCCCUGCUUCGAAACCUGCCAUUUCAACCCCAGAGUCACACUAUCUCUGCAAAAAGGAUGAAACUGAUACAGGCCAGAUGCUGAGAUUCUCUUAAGGACACAGCGAGAGCCUGACCGCCCCCAGCCGGGCUGCAGGGGGAGUGACUCAGCGGCAGAAUGGCCAAACAAAAACAACGCCGGGGGCGGUCAGAGCAGAGAGAAAAACUGUCAGCACCCUUCUCACGAGACAAGAGCCAUGAUGAGGGUCGGAGGAGGAGAGACAGCUGUCUUUGAGGGUCCUGUCCUUUGCUCAGUGAGGAAUGAUCUAUUAGAGGCUGACAAAUCAAUAAAGGCAAUUUAAGCCCCUUUCUUGGAGUCUGUGUGACUUACAGGAAGGCCAUGGUGUAGCGCCUGGGCGGUGCCAUGGGCCCCUUGCUCCUUCCCCUCUCUGCAAUUAUAGCAAAUUUGCCUAAUGCACUAAAAGCCAAUGAAUCAUGUCGACUGGUGAUGGGAUGGGGAAGGCGAGAGGGAAGACGUCGGAUGCUGGCAGAUGCCCUGCUAACCUUGGUUUUAAUUAGGUUUGAGUGAAUAACAAACAAAACAAUCCUUCAUUUGCGACAACCAACCAUAGUGAAAAAGAGGUCCCUAGCUGGUUGUUGCAAACGAGCGAUAUCCUGGGUCUUGUGAGAAGCCAAUAUGACUUCUUCCCUCUGGAACACAUCUCUCGAAAAGGUUGGGGCUCUGCUCAAAGAUUGGUGUUUUUAGACCCGUAUUCUCCAAGCUGGGACCCAGGUUAACACCUUGUAAGUAUUCUACUUGUUCCUUGCAGUGAGAUGGGAAUCCUCUGGUGACCGGGUUCAUUAGCAUUAAGCUCAAAAAAGAAGUCACAGCAUUCCUCUUUCAUGCUAAGGAUAGAAUUUUAGUAGUCUUAAAAUUUAAUAGAAAACUCUAUAAAAUAACUGGACUAUAUUGAUCAAAACUGCCGAAGUCAAGAAAGAUGAAGGAAGGCUUCAAGGCUGUAAAGAGAUAUCACGACAACUAAAUGUAACCUGCGAUCCAGGAUUUUCUUCACCCAUUUAGAGCACCAUUAGAAUAAAGAAAAAAUUUGAAAAAAGUCUGUAAAUUAGCCAAUAGUAUUGUUACAAUGCUAAUUUCCUAAUUUUGAUUAUUAUUGUGCUAUGUUACGAUAAGAAAAUUGUCCUUAAGUUUAGAAAAUACACACUGACGGGAUGAAGGGGCAUCAUAUCUGCAACUUAAAUGGUUCAGAAAAAAAAAAAUCUAUCCAAAGCAAGUGUGGUAAAACAUCACUAUGUGUGGAAUCCAGAUGAAUAGUAGAUGGGAAUUCUUUGUAGCAAUUCUGCAUCUGUUCUGUAAGUGUGAAAUCAUGACAGAGUAUUAA